rnacentral:lncRNA from 1 species
UCUCAAACAAUUAUCAAGAUCUAUCUUUUAAUAUAUUUGUGAUUAAUGUUUUAUCUUCCAUAUGAGAUGACUCCUUAGUCGAUUUUCAUAUGAGUUAAAUUAAAGAUCAAGGGCAAUUUCUACUCAUUUAUCCGAAGUGAAUCCCCGACGCUCUAGUAUUCGUCUCAAUCGUAUUUUCACCAAUCGUUCACUACUCAUAGACUAGUUCAUUUCCUUCCAAUACCCUAUGGUUCGACCUCGGACUUCCGAGAUUUACUACUUGCGACAACCUGCACUUGGAAUUGAGCUAAUGAAAAGAGGUUUUUCAUUUUAUGAUAACUUCGGGUUUCUUCAUUUUCGGCGAAUUGCAUGUCUAAUUCGAUUGGAAUCGAGCCAGAGAAAAGUUGUUUUUCAUUUCAUGAUAACUUCAAGUUUGUUCAUUUUUGGCGAAUUGCAAGUCUAAUUCAUCGGAAUAGAACCAAAGAAAAUUGGUUUUCCAUUCCAUGAUAACUUCGGAUUUGUUCAUUUUUGGCGAAUUACUAGUCUAACUCGAUCGGAAUCGAACCAAUGAAAAGUGGCUUUUGAUUUCAUGAUAACUUCGGGUUUGUUCGUUUUUGGAGUAUUGCUAGUCUAAUUCGAUUGGAAUCGAGCUAAAGAAAAGUGGUUUUUCAUUUCAUGAUAACGUCGUGUUUCUCCAUUUUUGGCGAAUUGCUAGUCUAAAUCGAUUGGAAUCGAGCUAAUGAAAAGAUGAUUUUGAUUUCUUUAUAACUUCGAGUUUGUUCAUUUUUGGCGAAUUGCUAGUCUAAUUCGAUUGGAAUCGAGCCAAUGAAAAGAGGUUUUUCAUUUCAUGAUAACUUCGGGUUUGAUCGUUUUUGGCGAAUUGCUAGUCUAAUUCGAUUGGAAUCGAGCCAAUGAAAAGAGGUUUUUCAUUUCAUGAUAACUUCGGGUUUGUUCAUUUUUGGCAAAUUGCUAGUCAAAUUCGAUUGGGAUCGAGCCAAUGAAAAGUGGCUUUUUAUUUCAUGAUAACUUCGUGUUUGUUCAUUUUUGGCGAAUUUCCAGUCCAAAUAGAUUGGAAUCGAGCAAGUGAAAAGCGGCUUUUGAUUUCAUGAUAACUUCGGUUUAUUCGUUUUUAGCAAAUUGCUAUCUAAUUCGAUUGGAAUCGUGCCAAUGAAAAGUGGCUUUUGAUUUCAUGAUAACUUUGGGUUUGUUCAUUUUUGGCUAAUUUCUAGUCUAAAUCGAUUGGAAUCGUGCAAGUGAAAAGUGGCUUUUGAUUUCAUGAUAACUUCGGUUUAUUCAUUUUUGGCGAAUUGCUAUCUAAUUCGAUUGGAAUCGGGCUAAUGAAAAGUGGCUUUUGAUUUCAUGAUAAAUUAGGGUUUGUUCGUUUUUGGCGUAUUGCUAGUCUAAUUCGAUUGGAAUCGAGACAAGGAAAAGUGAUUUUUCAUUUCAUGAUAACUUCGUGUUUAUUCGUUUCUGGCAAAUUUCUAGUCUAAAUCAAUUGGAAUCGAGCUAAUGAAAAGAUGAUUUUGAUUUCAUGAUAACUUCGGGUUUGUUCCUUUUCGGCAAAUUGCUAGUCUAAUUCGAUUGGAAUCGAGCCAAUGGAAAGAGGUUUUUCAUUUCAUGAUAACUUCGUGUUUGUUUAUUUUUGGCGAAUUGCUAGUCUAAAUCAAUUGGAAUCGAGCUAAUGAAAAGUUGAUUUUGAUUUCAUGAUAACUUCGGGUUUGUUCCUUUUCGGCGAAUUGCUAGUCUAAUUCGAUUGGAAUUGAGCCAAUGGAAAGAGGUUUUUCAUUUCAUGGUAACUUCGGGUUUGUUCAUUUUUGGCGAAUUGCUGCUCUAAUUCGAUUGGACUCGAGCCAAUGAAAAGUGGCUUUUGAUUUCAUGAUAACUUCGGGUUUGUUCAUUUUUGACGAAUUGCUAGUCUAAAUCGAUUGGAAUCGUGAGAGUGAAAAGUGGCUUUUGAUUUCAUGUUAACUUUGGUUUAUUCGAUUUUUGCAAGUUGCUAUCUAAUUCGAUUGGAAUCGAGCCAAUGAAAAGUGGCCUUUGAUUUUAUGAUAACUUCGGGUUUGUUCAUUUUUGGCGAAUUGCUAGUCUAAUUCGAUUGGAAUCGAGCCAAAGAAAAGUGGUUUUUCAUUUCAUGACAACUUCGUGUUUGAUCGUUUUGGCGAAUUGCUAGUCUAAAUCGAUUGGAAUCGAGCUAAUGAAAAGGUGAUUUUGAUUUCAUGAUAACUUCGGGUUUGUUCGUUUUUGACGAAUUGUUAGUCUAAUUCGAUUGGAAUUGGGCUAAUCAAAAUAGGUUUUUCAUUUCAUGAUAACUUCGGGUUUGUUCAUUUUUGGCGAAUUGCAUGGCUAAUUCGAUUGAAAUCGAGCCAAAGAAAAGUGGUUUUUCAUUUCUUGAUAACUUCGUGCUUGAUCAUUUUUGGCGAAUUGCUAGUCUAAAUCGAUUGGAAUCGAGCUAAUGAAAAGAUGAUUUUGAUUUCACGAUAACUUCGGGUUUAUUCAUUUUUGAUGAAGUGCUAGUCUAAUUCGAUUGGAAUUGAGCUAAUGAAAAGGGGUUUUUCAUUUCAUGAUAACUUCAUGUUUGUUCAUUUUUGGCGAAUUGCUUGUCUAAUUCGAUUGGAAUCUAACUAAUAAAAAGUGGCUUUUGAUUUCAUGGUAACUUAGGGUUUGUUCAUUUUUGGCGUAUUACUAGUCCAAUUCAAUUGGAAUCGAGCCAAAGAAAAGUGGUUUUUUCAUUUCAUGAUAACUUCGUGCUUGCUCAUUUUUGGCGAAUUGCUAGUCUAAAUCGAUUGGAAUCGAGCUAUUGAAAAGAUGAUUUUGAUUUCAUGAUAACUUCAGGUUUGUUCCUUUUUGGCGAAUUGCUAGUCUAAUUCGAUUGGAAUCGAUCCAUUGAAAAGAGUUUUUUCAUUUCAUGAUAACUUCGGGUUUGUUCAUUUUUGGCGAAUUGCUAGUCCAAUUCGAUUGGAAUCGAACAAAUGAAAAGUGGUUUUUGAUUUAAUAAUAACUUCGAGUUUGUUCAUUUUUGGUGAAUUUCUAGUCCAAAUCGAAUGGAAUCGUGCAAGUGAAAAGUGGCUUUUGAUUUCAUGAUGACUUCGAUUUAUUCAUUUUUGGCGAAUUGCUAUCUAAUUCGAUUGGAAUCGAGCCAAUGAAAAGUGGCUUUUGAUUUCAUGAUAACUUCGGGGUUAUUCAUUUUUGGCGAAUUGCUAUCUAAUUCGAUUGGAAUCGAGCCAAUGAAAAGUGGCUUUUGAUUUCAUGAUAACUUCGGGUUUGUUCAUUUUUGGCUAAUAUCUAGUCUAAAUCGAUUGGAAUCGCGCAAGUGAAAAGUGGCUUUUGAUUUCAUGAUAACUUCGAUUUAUUCGUUUUGGGCGAAUUGCUACUAAUUCGAUUGGAAUCCAGCUAAUGAAAAGUGGCUUUUGAUUUCAUGAUAACUUAGGGUUUGUUCAUUUUUGGCGUACUGCUAGUCUAAUUCGAUUGGAAUCGAUCCAAAGAAAAGUGAUUUUUCAUUUCAUGAUAACUUCGUGUUUGUUCGUUUUUGGCGAUUUGCUAGUCUAAAUCAAUUGGAAUCGAGCUAAUGAAAUGAUGAUUUUGAUUUCAUGAUAACUUCGGGUUUGUUCAUUUUUGGCGAAUUGUUAGUCUAAUUCGAUUGGAAUCGAGCCAAUGAAAAGAGGUCUUUCAUUUCAUGAUAACUUUGGGUUUCUUCAUUUUUGGUGAAUUGCUACUCCAUUUCGAUUGGAAUCGAGCCAAUGAAAAGUAGCUUUUGAUUUCAUGAUAACUUCGGGGUUAUUCAUUUUUGGCGAAUUGCUAGUCUAAAUCGAUUGGAAUCGUGAGAGUGAAAAGUGGCUUUUGAUUUCAUGAUGAGUUCGAUUUAUUCGGUUUUUGGGAAUUGCUAUCUAAUUCGAUUGGAAUCGAGCCAAUGAAAAAUGGCUUUUGAUUUUAUGAUAACUUCGGGUUUGUUCAUUUUUGGCGAAUUGCUAGUCUAAUUCGAUUGGAAUCGAGCCAAAGAAAAGUGGUUUUUCAUUUCAUGAUAACUUCGUGUUUGAUCAUUUUAGCGAAUUGCUAGUCUAAAUCGAUUGGAAUCAAGCGAAUGAAAAGGUGAUUUUGAUUUCAUGAUAACUUCGGGUUUGUUCGUUUUUGACGAAUUGUUAGUCUAAUUCGAUUGGAAUUGGGCUAAUCCAAAGAGGUUUUUCAUUUCAUGAUAACUUCGGGUUUGUUCAUUUUUGGCGAAUUGCAUGUCUAAUUCGAUUGGAAUCGAGCCAAAAAAAGUGGUUUUUCAUUUCAUGAUAACUUCAAGUUUGUUCAUUUUUGGCGAAUUGCAAGUCUAAUUCGAUUGGAAUAGUGCCAAAGAAAAUUCGUUUUUCAUUUCAUGAUAAAUUCAGAUUUAUUCAUUUUUGGCGAAUUACCAGUCCAAUUCAAUUGGAAUCGAGCCAAUGAAAAGUGGCUUUUGAUUUCUUUAUAACUUCGGGUUUGUUCGUUUUUGUAGUAUUUCUAGUCUAAUUCGAUUGGAAUCAAGCCAAAGAAUACUGGUUUUUCAUUUCAUGAUAACUUCGUGUUUGUUCGUUUUUGGCGAAUUGCUAGUCUAAAUCGAUCGGAAUCGAGCUAAUGAAAAGUUGAGUUUGAUUUCAUGAUAACUUCGAGUUUGUUCAUUUUUGGCGAAUUGCUAGUCUAAUACGAUUGGAAUCGAGUCAAUGAAAAGUGGUUUUCCAUUUCAUGAUAACUUCGGGUUUGUUCGUUUUUGGCAAAUUACGAGUCCAAUUCGAUUGGAAUCGAGCAAGUGAAAAGUGGAUUUUGAUUUCAUGAUAACUUCGAUUUGUUCAUUUUUGGCGAAUUGCGAUCUAAUUCGAUUGGAAUCGAGCCAAUGAAAAGUGGCUUUUGAUUUCAUGAUAACUUUGGGUUUGUUCAUUUUUGGCGAAUUGCAAGUCUAAAUCAAUUGGAAUCAUGCAAGUGAAAAGUGUCUUUUGAUUUCAUGAUAACUUCAGUUUAUUCAUUUUUUGCGAAUUGUUAUCUAAUUCGAUUAGGAUCGGGCCAAUGAAAAGUGGCUUUUUAUUUCAUGAUAACUUCGGGUUUGUUCGUUUUUGACGUAUUGCUUGUCUAAUUCGAUUGGAAUCAAGCCAAAGAAAAAUGGUUUUUCAUUUCAUGAUAACUUCGUGUUUGAUCAUUUUUGACGAUUUGCGAGUCUAAAUCGAUUGGAAUCGAGCUAAUGAAAAGAUGAUUUUGAUUUCAUCAUAACUUCGGCUUUGUUCAUUUUUGGCGAAUUGCUAUCCUAAUUUGAUUGGAAUCGAGCCAAUGAAAAGAGGUUUUUCAUUUAAUGAUAACUUCGGGAUUUUUCAUUUUUGGCGAAUUGCUAGUCCGAUUUGAUUGGAAUUGAGCCAAUGAAAAGUGGCUUUUGAUUUCAUGAUAACUUCGAGUUUGUUCAUUUUUGGCAAAUUGCUAGUCCAAUUCGAUUUGAAUCAAGCCAAUGAAAAGUGGCAUUUUAUUUCAUGAUAACUUUUCGUUAGUUUGUUUUUGGCGAAUUGCUAGUCUAAUUCGAUUGUAAUUGAGCCAGAGAACAGUGGUUUUUCAUUUCAUGAUAACUUCGAAUUUGUUCCUUUUUGGCAAAUUGUUAGUCUAAAUCGAUUGGAAUCGAGGUAAUGAAGAGUUGAUUUUGAUUUCAUGAUAACUUCGGGUUUGAUCAUUUUUGGCGACAUGCUAGUCUAAUUCGAUUGGAACCGAGCCAAUGAAAAGUGGUUUUUCGCUUCAUGAUAACUUCGGGUUUGUUGGUUAUUGGAGAAUUGCUAGUCCAAUUCGAUUGGAAUCGAGCCAUUGAAAAUUGGCUUUUGAUUUCAUGAUAACUUUGGAUUUGUUCGAUUUUGGCUAAUUACUAGUCUAAAUCGAUUGGAAUUGAGCCGAUGAAAAGUGACUUUUGAUUUCAUGAUAACUUCAGGUUUGUUUAUUUUUGGAGAAUUACAAGUCUAAUUCGAUUGGAAUCGAGCCAAAGAAAAGUUGCUUUUCAUUUCAUGAUAACUUCGAGUUUAUUCAUUUUUGGCGAAUUACUAGUCUAAAUUGAUUGGAAUCGAGCUAAUGAAAAGUUGAUUUUAAUUUCAUGAUAACUUCGGGUUUGUUCGUUUUUGGCGACUUGCUAGUCUAGUUCGAUUGGAAUCGAGCCAAUGAAAAGUGGUUUUUCAUUUCAUGAUAACUCGGGUUUGUUCAUUUUUGACAAAUUACUAGUCCAAUUCGAUUGGAAUCGAGCUAAUGAAAAGUGGCUUUUGACUUUAUGAUAACUUUGGGUUAGUUCAUUUUUGGCAAAUUGCUAGUCUAAUUCGAUUGGAAUCGAGCAAGAGAACAGUGGUUUUUCAUAUCAUUACAAUUUCGGAUUUGUUCCUUUUUGGAAAAUUGCUAGUCUAAAUCGAUUGGAAUCGAGCUAAUGAAAAGUUGAUUUUGAUUUCGUGAUAACUUCGGGUUUGUUCGUUUUUGGCGAAUUACUAGUCUAAUUCGACUGGAAUCAAGUCAAUGAAAGGUGGUUUUAGAUUUCAUGAUAACUUCAGUUUGUUCAUUUUUGGCGAAUUGUGAUCUAAUUCGAUUGGAAUUGAGCCAAUGAAAAGUGGCAUUUGAUUUCAUGAUAACUUCGGGUUUGUUCAUUUUUGGCGAAUCGCUAGACUAAAUCGAUUGGAAUUGUGCAAGUGAAAAGUGGCUUUUGAUUUCAUGAUAACUUCAGUUUGUUCAUUUUUGGCGAAUUGUGAUCUAAUUCGAUUGGAAUUGAGCCAAUGAAAAGUGGAUUUUGAUUUCAUGAUAACUUCGGGUUUGUUCAUUUUUGGCGAAUUGCUAGUCUAAAUCGAUUGGAAUCGUGCAAGUGAAAAGUGGCUUUUGAUUUCAUGAUAACUUCGGUUUAUUCAUUUUUGGCGAAUUGCUAUCUAAUUUGAUUGGAAUCGAGCCAAUGAAUAUUGGCUUUUGAUUUCAUGAUAACUUCGGUUUGUUCGUUUUGGGCGAAUUGCUAGUCUAAAUCGAUUGGAAUCGAGGUAAUGAAAAGAUGAUUUCAAUUUCAUGAUAACCUUGGGUUUGUUUAUUUUUGGCGAAUUGCUAGUCUAAUUCGAUUGGAAUCGAGCCAAUGAAAAGAGGUUUUUCAUUUCAUGAUAACUUCGG